AGUAGGUCAUCUCGCUAGGCUCAUGACCUGGAGGUCAUAGGUUCGAAUCCUAUUUCC
rnacentral:tRNA from 16 species